rnacentral:rRNA from 1 species
UGAGUACGAGACGCUAAGGCGUCGAAGUAGUGGAUGUCAUACUUCCAAGAAAAGCUUGCAUAGUCAUAAAUAGAAAAUGCCUGUACCAUAACCGACACAGGUGGGUAAGUAGAGUAUACUAAGGGGCGCGAGAUAACUCUCUCUAAGGAACUCGGCAAAAUAACUCCGUAACUUCGGGAGAAGGAGUGCCUUAUUCUUAAGGUUGCAAUAACAAGAUCCAAGCAACUGUUUAUCAAAAACACAGGUCUCCGCUAAGUCGUAAGACGAUGUAUGGGGGCUGACGCCUGCCCAGUGCCAGAAGGUUAAAGAAGUCGGUUAGCAAUAGCAAAGCUGGUAACUGAAGCCCUGGUGAACGGCGGCCGUAACAAUAACGGUCCUAAGGUAGCGAAAUUCCUUGUCGGGUAAGUUCCGACCCGCACGAAAGGCGUAAUGAUUUGGAUGCUGUCUCGGAGAGGGGCUCGGUGAAAUAGACUUGUCUGUGAAGAUGCGGACUACCUGCACCAGGACAGAAAGACCCUAUGAAGCUUUACUGUAACUUGAAAUUGAAAUUGGACUUUAUUCGCGCAGUAUAGGUGGGAGGCGUUGAUUAUAAUCUUGUGGGAUUAUUGGAGCCAUCAGUGAGAUACCACUCUUGUAAUGUUAGAUUUCUAACUUUGAAUCAUUAUCUGGUCAAAGGACAGUUUCAGGCGGGCAGUUUGACUGGGGCGGUCGCCUCCUAAACGGUAACGGAGGGUACAAAGGUUUCCUCUGAACGGUUAGAAAUCGUAUCUAGAGUGUAAAGGCAUAAGGAAGCUUGACUGUGAGACCUACAAGUCGAGCAGGGACGAAAGUCGGUCUUAGUGAUCUGACGGUACUGAGUGGAAAGGCCGUCACUCAACGGAUAAAAGUUACUCUAGGAUAACAGGCUGAUCUCCCCCAAGAGUUCACAUCGACGGGGAGGUUUGGCACCUCGAUGUCGGCUCAUCGCAUCCUGGGGCGGUAGUACGUCCCAAGGGUUGGGCUGUUCGCCCAUGAAAGCGGUACGCGAGCUGGGUUCAGAACGUCGUGAGACAGUUCGGUCCAUAUCCGGUGUAGGCGCUAGAAUAUUGAGAGGAGCCUUCUUUAGUACGAGAGGACCGAGAAGGACAUACCUCUGGUGUACCAGUUAUCGUGCCAACGGUAAACGCUGGGUAGCUAUGUAUGGAGUGGAUAACCGCUGAAAGCAUCUAAGUGGGAAGCCCACCUCAAGAUAAGUAUUCUCAUCACGUAAGUGAGUAAGGUCACGGUAAGACUAACCGUUUGAUAGGCAUUAAGUGUAAGUACAGUAAUGUAUGUGCUGAGAUGUCCUAAUAGACCGAGGACUUGA